UACGAAGGGGGCUAGCGUUGUUCGGAAUUACUGGGCGUAAAGCGCGCGCAGGCGGUCUUCCAAGUCAGUGGUGAAAGCCCGGAGCUCAACUCCGGAACUGCCAUUGAAACUGUGAGACUUGAGGAUGAGAGAGGUGAGUGGAAUUCCCAGUGUAGAGGUGAAAUUCGUAGAUAUUGGGAAGAACACCGGUGGCGAAGGCGGCUCACUGGCUCAUUACUGACGCUCAGGCGCGAUAGCGUGGGGAUCAAACAGG
rnacentral:rRNA from 1 species